rnacentral:lncRNA from 1 species
AAGAGAGGCAGCGGCUGCCGUGAAGGCUGGGAUCGGAUGGGAGAGGUCCUUCUUGGGCUCUAUUUGUUUGUUUGUGACUGGAGCUGCAAAGUUCAGAGCCAAACGUGUUGCUUUCCGGCGGCGGCGACCGCCCCGCUUCACCUGCUCCGCUGACGGGUGCCUACCCGGGGCGGCCCCGCGGCUCUGCGGGUCCUCUGCCCGGCAUCCUGCCUGCCGCUGGGGCCGACGGACGCCAGAGGAGCGGGGGCUGUGUCUCUCGCCUGCCCGCCUUCCCCUCCGCGCCUGCCGGAGGGCAACGGACAGGUGUAGCUACAGAAAGAUAGCAAAUUGA